rnacentral:rRNA from 1 species
AUUGAACGCUGGCGGCAUGCCUUACACAUGCAAGUCGAACGGUAACAGGUCUUCGGAUGCUGACGAGUGGCGAACGGGUGAGUAAUACAUCGGAACGUGCCCAGACGUGGGGGAUAACGAGGCGAAAGCUUUGCUAAUACCGCAUACGAUCUAAGGAUGAAAGCAGGGGACCGCAAGGCCUUGCGCGUUUGGAGCGGCUGAUGGCAGAUUAGGUAGUUGGUGGGAUAAAAGCUUACCAAGCCGACGAUCUGUAGCUGGUCUGAGAGGACGACCAGCCACACUGGGACUGAGACACGGCCCAGACUCCUACGGGAGGCAGCAGUGGGGGAAUUUUGGGACAAUGGGCGAAAGCCUGAUCCAGCAAUGCCGCGUGCAGGAUGAAGGCCUUCGGGUUGU